GACGAGAAUUCCUUCAUCUACACAACGGGGACAAGUGAAAUGACAGCAUCUCUAAACUGCAGAUAACUCCGAUGUUCUAUUAAAUUCCUGGGGCAAGUGCAAGGAAAAAGAAAUCUAAUUUGAACCGCCUUCGAUCAUUUAAUCGCUCUAGGUUUUAUAUUACAGCUGUCGAUGGAGGAGAUGAAUGGCAGAAAGAAACAGUGGCAGAGGAUAACGGAACAAAAUAAGACAUUUCGGUUUGAGUUGUGAGGCUGCUGUGUUCUGUUCUAAUCUGUCAUGUGGAAGUGUCUGCAGACAAGAACAAAGAACUGUCAAGACAUUAGCGUGGUGCGGUGCGGAUAUGAUCCGGGUUCCUCUGCUGUCAGUAUGAAAUUCUAGAGGGUUCGGUUGACAGCACCGACUGAAUCAUGCCUCAGAUGGACUACGGCAAUAUCAUCCGGGCCACACAGUGUUUGGUUUCGUGCUGGACAAACUAAAGAAAAACGUUUUUCGUCGCGUUCAUUGACCGGAUCACCUGAAGUUGUCUAUAAUACGCGAAGGAUCGUUUUUGGUGUGGAGUGUGAGAUUGUGAAUGAAAAUGGAGGCCCCUGAUCCUGAAGAAGACAACAGGUCGGAGGCCAUUGUUUCCUUGCCAUGAUCCAUUCAGGUGAAGCAUCAUCAUCAUCAUCAUCUCAAUCACAAUCACAAUCAUCCACAGAAUAAGCUGGACCACUCUUUCCCGAGACCAUCAAAAUGUACAAAUCAUGGGUGUAACUGCUGAUCAGUCUGAAGCUGCAGAUGCGCUGCCGGUGGUGGGGAUCGAAUCCCAACCAUGUGGCAGUGAAGAGAAGCUCGAACGCACGUCCCUACUGCCAAAAUCAUGUACAUCCAAUAUGGCCUUCAGUAUUAUCGUCUGGAACAGGAGAGAUUUAUGUCGCGUCAUCUGUUUUCAAGCGAGUCUUGUUAUCGAGGUUCAGAGUGGAUUUUGAUAUGUGUAUUGCUGACUAUGAUCAGACAGCGUCAUCAGCCACAAAAACCAAACUAUAACAGAUUAAUCGUCUUAAGUAAAUUGAAGAGUUUCUGGAUAUGAAAACGAAUAGUAUGUAUUAUCCACUCACUGAGAACGCAAACGAAAGGGCAUGGAUUUGAAUCCCAUUCUUGACA